AUCAUGCGCUUGGAACUUUAAAAAAACUUAUAGCAGUUGCUUAUUGUAGUGGAGGAAGAGGUGUAUGCCGACAUCUGGUCGUUGCUGCGCCCACUAAGCAAGCAAGUCACUCAAUCCUUAUAAAUUCCCUAUUUCAGGUAACUUUUACUUAUACAAAUUCAUCUAUGAUACCAGUGAUUUAAGAAGUAUAUAUUCAGUCGAUCGGGAUGUGCUAAGUAUCAUACAUCUACUUUUUUUGGUACCAAAAGUAGUAUGAGAUUGAUAUAUUUGUUGAUUAUAUAUGAGAUUCUACAGGGAUACACAUGAUAUUUUACUUUGCAAUAUCGAAAGAUAUGUAGUGAUGUAGCAUGUAACAAAAUUUAUCUCAUGGAAAUAGCAACUCACCUGAAGUAUAAUGAGUUUUGUGUGUUAUAGGACCUUCGGGUGAAUGUUUCAUAUAGCUCUGUUUUGCUGCACAUUUUUUGUGCACAUUAUUUCGUGUACAAACAUGUUUUUUUGCUGCUAUCGAAUAUUAGGAUUUUCAAGGAGAUUAUGGCAGGGCCUUAAAUCUUGAGGAAUAAUAGUUUCAGUGACAUGGGCUAGGCCAAACUCCUACCAAAAUUUUGCUCAUUCAAAAUUUGUAUGACCAGACUACAUCGGUAAUCUAAUAUUUGUAUGCAUAUGACAAAUAUGAUCCAUGAUCUUUAACUUGAAUCUUCAAAUGAUUUUAGCUACUUCCAAUUUCGGUGUGGUCGCAUUAUUGAUCGUUUGAAACUGCAUAUGCUGAUGUAGAUCCGACUUGAGUCUCGAGUUUGUAGGUAUGGAGUUGAUUCACCUCUCUAUUGGUUUCUGGCUCUUUGAAUAUAUGUUUCUGUUUCCCCAAUAUUACAUCAUUUAUUUCUAGCAAAUCAAUGUGGUCAUAUAUGGGGAGGACCAUUUUGCAACAAAGAAUUUACAGGGGUUCCCAUUGAAUUAAGAGAUAGAAUUAUAUGUUUGUCAUUCGUGUGUACUAACACCUACUGCUACUCAUGAUUUUGAUGGUGGAGCAAUGUGGGGUCUGUUGACCCUUAAGCAGAGGGGGAGAGCAGAAUGGCGGUUGCAGGCCUCCGCCACUUUGGUGCUUCAAAAUUAGAGCUUAGUUGUCGGCCGAUGAAGAAGCUUCUCCUUAGAAGUGGAACUGCCUCCCUUAGGCACCAUGAUUGGGAGGAAAUCGAUGAGCCUGUGAAGCACCGUUGCUCUAAAUGGCCGCCCUUCAGUCAGAGAAUAGAAACCCUCCAAAUGUUUGAGGUUAUGUUAGAAUUGUUUGAACUUGUUAUUCCCCACCCUCUACUCUUGUUAGAAUGAAUUAGAUGAUUUUUUUCGAGGCGUAAAAGACCGGCCUCCAGGGGUUGUGAGAAGUUACGGGCCUGGAACGAAGGAAACAUGUGGAGCUGUAAUUUUCACAAUGAACCGUGCCACUCCUGAAAUAGUCACGCGGUGUAAUUUUCACGCCGGUUUUGGCUAAAAACGGUAAACCAAGCAGAGCAUUGAUCAAGUUUAAAUAAACUCAUAGUUGCUGUAAUAAAGUCAUAUUUGACAUAUAUUCUGAAGAUCAUUUUACUA